AUUGAACGCUGGCGGCAUGCCUUACACAUGCAAGUCGAACGGUAACGGGCCUUCGGGUGCCGACGAGUGGCGAACGGGUGAGUAAUGCAUCGGAACGUACCUUUCAGUGGGGGAUAACGUAGCGAAAGUUACGCUAAUACCGCAUAUUCUGUGAGCAGGAAAGCAGGGGAUCGCAAGACCUUGCGCUGAUUGAGCGGCCGAUGUCAGAUUAGCUAGUUGGUGAGGUAAAGGCUCACCAAGGCGACGAUCUGUAGCGGGUCUGAGAGGAUGAUCCGCCACACUGGAACUGAGACACGGUCCAGACUCCUACGGGAGGCAGCAGUGGGGAAUUUUGGACAAUGGGGGCAACCCUGAUCCAGCCAUGCCGCGUGAGUGAAGAAGGCCUUCGGGUUGUAAGCUCUUUCGGUCCGGGAAGAAAUCGUAUGGGUUAAUAACCUGUGCGGAUGACGGUACCGGCAUAAGAAGACACCGGCUAACUACGUGCCAGCAGCCGCGGU
rnacentral:rRNA from 1 species